rnacentral:tRNA from 1 species
UGCUAAGAAAGGGAGUUUAACCCUUAUUUAAGCGUUU